rnacentral:rRNA from 1 species
CAGUAGCCACGGUAAUACGAGGGGGGCAAGCGUUGUUCGGAUUUAUUGGGCGUAAAGGGUGCGUAGGCGGUUUGAUAAGUCUGAUGUGAAAUCUAUGGGCUCAACCCAUAGUCUGCAUUAGAAACUGUCGGGCUUGAGUAUGGGAGAGGUGAGUGGAAUUUCCGGUGUAGCGGUGAAAUGCGUAGAUAUCGGAAGGAACACCUGUGGCGAAAGCGGCUCACUGGACCAUAACUGACGCUGAUGCACGAAAGCUAGGGGGGCAAACAGGAUUAGAGACCCCGGUAGUCCCUGUCUCUUAUAC